CAGUUCCACGGUUCCGCCUUCCAAACACGAUUUUGUAUUUAGUCAAUAUCUGAAAAACUACAGUAAUAUUAUGAAUCAUUAUCUAAUAACGAACGUCUAUAAAAUACAAUUGAGUAGGUAUUAAACUAUUAAAAUAAUAUUAUACUUAUAUAACCAUUAAUUUUAAUUAAGGUAAUGCAAAAUUUUUACUAUCGUUUUUUCUGAUAAUUAUGCAAUAUCACAGCAGUUUUUAUUGUAUGAUUAACCAUAUCUUCUUUAGUUAUUAUAAGAAUUUAAAAAUAUUUUGCUGCCAAAUACCAAAUGUAUUUCAGAUUUUGUAACUCUAUAUUUAACACUUUUAAAUCGAGAUGAUCUAUGAGAAGAAAUUUAAGUAUCAACAGCAACUUGAAAAUGUUUAAUUUUGAGUACUUCUCCAAAUCGUUUAUCAAGUUUUAGGUACCAACAUUGAUUUAUUAAUCUAUCUCUUCUUUUAAUUUUCUUUUAAUAAUUUAAUAAAUAAAAUGAUAUGCUAUUGAAAAGAAAAUUUUAUAUAAUUUAUAAAAAAUCAACUAAAAAUGUCAGUUUUGCAAAUUCAAUCACAUUAUAAUUUAUAGACAUCACUUAUGUUGAAAUCACUCUAUGAGUUUGGUUUCCUAAGGAAAUAUAUAUAAAAUGUAACCAUACGUAGUCAGUCAUAAAAUACAUUUUAAAGAAAUUAAAAUAGUAAAAAAUAAUAUUAUACAAGGAAUACCCAAAAUAUAUCAUGUGAUGAAUUUUAGAUUUCAAUCAAAACCGAAUAUCCAGAAUUAUCCAACAAAUAGUAUCAACUUUAAUUACUUUUGAUUCAAUUUAUUUAUUUGAAACAGCAUAUUUUUCUUUUUUGAUGAUAAAAAUUAAAUAUUGUUCCAGAUUGAAUGUUGAAAAAGAUUUAAGAAUGGCCGUCUCAAGUAUAAAACCUACUAACAAUUAAUUAAGUCUAAGAUUCAAGCACAGGUCGCUAUUUAAAUUAUUUUCGUUUUAUAAUUUCAAAAUCAUUAAAACGUUAAUAAUAUUGUUAUAUCAAUUUCAUUAAUUUUUUUUAAUUGUAUUUUGGAAUUUAUAUUUAUUAACUAAAUAUUGAAUUGCCUAAAAUCAAAAAUUUCAUGUAUAUAAACAUACAUAUUGUAUAUAUACAAUAUACUUAUAUAAUGUUGGUAAGGGGUCGCCUCAACAAAAUAAAUAAAUUGGGGGUCGUGGAUCUAUAAAGGUUGUACACUACUGACUGCUCUAUAUGAUAAAGUAUUUUGUAUUUUUGUGUUAAAUUUGUUUAUUCAUAUAUUAUUGUUCUAAUUAUUAUUUAUUACAAAUUAUAUUACA